GACGAACGCUGGCGGCGUGCUUAACACAUGCCAGUCGAACGGAAAGGCCCUGCUUUUGUGGGGUGCUCGAGUGGCGAACGGGUGAGUAACACGUGAGUAACCUGCCCCUGACUUUGGGAUAACUUCAGGAAACUGGGGCUAAUACCGGAUAGGAGCUCCUGCUGCAUGGUGGGGGUUGGAAAGUUUCGGCGGUUGGGGAUGGACUCGCGGCUUAUCAGCUUGGUGGUGGGGUAGUGGCUUACCAAGGCUUUGACGGGUAGCCGGCCUGGGAGGGUGACCGGCCACGUUGGGACUGAGAUGCGGCACAGACUCCUACGGGAGGCAGCAGUGGGGAAUAUUGCACAAUGGGCGGAAGCCUGAUGCAGCAACGCCGCGUGCGGGAUGACGGCCUUCGGUUUGUAUACCGCUUUCGCCUGUGACGAAGCGUGAGUGACGGUAAUGGGUAAAGAAGCACCGGCUAACUACGUG
rnacentral:rRNA from 1 species